rnacentral:rRNA from 1 species
AAAUUGAAGAGUUUGAUCAUGGCUCAGAUUGAACGCUGGCGGCAGGCCUAACACAUGCAAGUCGAACGGUAACAGGAAGCAGCUUGCUGCUUUGCUGACGAGUGGCGGACGGGUGAGUAAUGUCUGGGAAACUGCCUGAUGGAGGGGGAUAACUACUGGAAACGGUGGCUAAUACCGCAUAACGUCGCAAGACCAAAGAGGGGGACCUUCGGGCCUCUUGCCAUCAGAUGUGCCCAGAUGGGAUUAGCUAGUUGGUGAGGUAACGGCUCACCAAGGCGACGAUCCCUAGCUGGUCUGAGAGGAUGACCAGCCACACUGGAACUGAGACACGGUCCAGACUCCUACGGGAGGCAGCAGUGGGGAAUAUUGCACAAUGGGCGCAAGCC